UUGUUUUUAAAAAGCCUAAGCCUCAAAACUUUGUAAAUAAUGAGUUUUAUCUUUCAGAACACAAUGGGUUAGUUGCCCCCUUCUAACCUGAAAUUGUGUUUCUUUCUCCAGAUAAUUGUGAUUGUUGUGAUUCCUCUAAAUAGUUCCGGGCUCGUAUCCGUGCUUUAAACCAGGCUGGCACGAGUCCCGUUGAUAUACAACCUCGACUUGCUCCGCUGACUCGCGGAGAAGUUCUCAACUCCUGAGAUGGUUCCGUUUACUUCUAAUCUGAGAUGGUUCAGUUCUCUUCUAAUCCCACCUACUAAUCUUGACAUCCUGAGUCUAAGGAAGUCUAUAUAAAGACCUCUGUUGUCAAGUCUCCGACAUCACCGGAAGCUGAGUCAUCCUUGUUCUCUGGAUCCUCAGCUUAUGCUCCAGAAUAUCCUGCUGGUACUCUAGAGACCCAUAUACCUCUACGUACCAGGCCUGCACAACUUUGGCUUAGUUGUAUCCUCUUCUCUGGUUUCUCCGACGAGAAGAACUUUUGCUCCCCUCCGAUACCUCCACGGAAGGGCUCUGAUUCUGUAUCCCUGGUCUAGCUCCUCCUCUAGAUCAAAUACAGUUAUCCUGUUCGCGACUGCGGUGGAAUUUAAUGAACUAUAGGCUACAAACCUCUGGACAAAUCAACAUUGUAAGUUUAUUUUCUUAUUAUAUAAAUAAUUUAAUAGUUAACCUGGAGAAAGUUUUAUUUUAAAAGGCUAAAAUUUUAUUAUGGUCAUGCAUAUAAUUAACCCUGGACUGAUUUAUUGUGUUUUCAGUUUCGGUUGAGUCCUGUAUAAACUGCCUACCUGAAAUAUAUACAUAAGACUUAAUCAGUGCAAAUAGAGGCGAGCCGAAGAGAAAGAGUUCAUGCUCGCUCUUAUGUUUGUAGUUAUUACCUGGUCUCCUAUAGGUAAAAAUGAGCACAGAUAUAUUUUUAAAGAAUGCGUCUUUUAUAAUUAUUUUCAAUGGACCUAAAAUAACAUUCAUAGGGAAAAAUUGGAUAUAUUGGUAGAAAAUACAUAGUGGGAGCACUACAACUGUAAAAUUAAAAUAUGAAUGAUAGACAUCUGGUAUGAUUUGAAUCAAUUCACUUCAUAAUCUGAUUUUCAGGUUACUUGUAAAACUAUUGGAGCGUUGUAACAACAUCAAAUUGCUCAACUGUCGCGCGUCUUUCCAUAACAGUCUAAUGGGUCCAACUUUACAUGUAAAAAUUGAGAAAACGUAUAAUCAAACACAUGGAAAAUUGGGAAAAUGUACUUGAGGGAAAUUGGAAAAACAUGCCGGGGUUUAAGUGCCUA